UUUCUUGGUCUUGGGCGCAAAAGUUCUUCCAAAGAGUCAGCGCUGCUAGAUCCCACCUCCUCCUCUAAUACUCUUUCUACAUUUAUCCCUUCAUUACGUGCUUCUUCAGCAAUUCUGGGAGCUGGGUUGCCUUCAUCAUCAUCUAAAUGAAGAGGUCUAAUCCAUUGAAAAAGUUGGUUACCCUCUGUAUCAUCAUCUUCACCAACAAUAUCAAACACAUCUAGUGGGUCCCCACAGUCGACAUGAUCUAUUUCUGCUUCCUUAUCUCGAAUUUGAAGCUUCAUGUUGUAGU
rnacentral:lncRNA from 1 species